rnacentral:tRNA from 1 species
ACUAAAAUAGUUUAUAAAAACAUUAAUUUUGUAAAUUAAAAAUAUUUACCUAUAAAUUUAUAGUA